rnacentral:rRNA from 1 species
GAUGAACGCUGGCGGCGUGCCUAAUACAUGCAAGUCGAGCGAACAGACGAGGAGCUUGCUCCUCUGACGUUAGCGGCGGACGGGUGAGUAACACGUGGAUAACCUACCUAUAAGACUGGGAUAACUUCGGGAAACCGGAGCUAAUACCGGAUAAUAUAUUGAACCGCAUGGUUCAAUAGUGAAAGACGGUUUUGCUGUCACUUAUAGAUGGAUCCGCGCCGCAUUAGCUAGUUGGUAAGGUAACGGCUUACCAAGGCAACGAUGCGUAGCCGACCUGAGAGGGUGAUCUGCCACACUGGAACGGAGACACGGUCCAGACUCCUACGGGAGGCAGCAGUAGGGAAUCUUCCGCAAUGGGCGAAAGCCUGACGGAGCAACGCCGCGUGAGUGAUGAAGGUCUUCGGAUCGUAAAACUCUGUUAUUAGGGAAGAACAAAUGUGUAAGUAACUAUGCACGUCUUGACGGUACCUAAUCAGAAAGCCACGGCUAACUACGUG